rnacentral:rRNA from 1 species
GCUGGCGGCGUGCUUAACACAUGCAAGUCGAGCGGGGACAUGGAGAAGCUUGCUUCGAAAUGUUCUAGCGGCGGACGGGUGAGUAACGCGUGGGCAACCUUUCCUCUACUGGGGAAUAACACAGGGAAACUUGUACUAAUACCGCAUGAGACCACAGAGCUGCAUGGCUUAGGGGUCAAAGAUUUAUCGGUAGAGGGUGGGCUCGCGUCUGAUUAGGUAGUUGGUGAGGUAACGGCCCACCAAGCCGACGAUCAGUAGCCGACCUGAGAGGGUGAUCGGCCACAUUGGGACUGAGACACGGCCCAAACUCCUACGGGAGGCAGCAGUGGGGAAUAUUGGGCAAUGGGGGAAACCCUGACCCAGCAACGCCGCGUGGAGGAAGAAGGUUUUCGGAUCGUAAACUCCUGUCCUCAGGGAAGAGCAGAAGACGGUACCUGAGGAGGAAGCCCCGGCUAACUACGUGCCAGCAGCCGCGGUAAUACGUAGGGGGCAAGCGUUGUCCGGAAUGAUUGGGCGUAAAGGGCGCGUAGGCGGCUCGGUAAGUCUGGAGUGAAAGUCCUGCUUUCAAGGUGGGAAUUGCUUUGGAUACUGUCGAGCUUGAGUGCAGGAGAGGUAAGUGGAAUACCCAGUGUAGCGGUGAAAUGCGUAGAGAUUGGGAGGAACACCAGUGGCGAAGGCGACUUACUGGACUGUAACUGACGCUGAGGCGCGAAAGUGUGGGGA